CAGCAGCCACGGUAAUACGGAGGAUCCAAGCGUUAUCCGGAAUCAUUGGGUUUAAAGGGUCCGUAGGCGGUCUUGUAAGUCAGUGGUGAAAGCCCAUCGCUCAACGGUGGAACGGCCAUUGAUACUGCAGGACUUGAAUUAUUGGGAAGUAACUAGAAUAUGUAGUGUAGCGGUGAAAUGCUUAGAGAUUACAUGGAAUACCAAUUGCGAAGGCAGGUUACUACCAAUUGAUUGACGCUGAUGGACGAAAGCGUGGGUAGCGAACAGGAUUAGAUACCCCGGUAGUCCCUGUCUCUUAUAU
rnacentral:rRNA from 1 species